UACGAAGGGUUCGGAAUUAUUGGGCGUAAAGCGCACGUAGGCGGCUCUAUAAGUCGGAUGUGAAAUCCCUCGGCUCAACCAAGGAAGUGCAUUCGAAACUGUAGAGCUUGAGUAGUUAAGAGGAUCGCGGAAUUCCCGGUGUAGAGGUGAAAUUCGUAGAUAUCGGGAGGAACACCAGUGGCGAAGGCGGCGAUCUGGGAACAUACUGACGCUGAGGUGCGAAAGCGUGGGGAGCAAACAGG
rnacentral:rRNA from 1 species